CCAAUGUGAAGGUCCUCAAGCCAAUCCCUCGUUCUGAUUGGUUCUCCUCCCGGCCAAUCCCGAAACGGCCCGAGCGCCUUGUGCAGCUUUCAAGGGAUGCUCCUAUACCUUGAAACUUUUUCCUGCUAAGUCAUAUCGGAUGCAGGAUGUUCCCGCGACUUCGUUACCAGCCAUGGUUGAGGCAGCAUCCGCAGAGUUGAAUAGCUUUGCAAAAAGAAUGUAACAGCUACUUGACUCAAGACAUAUAUGGAUUUCCGCUGGAAUGUUUGUGGACCCUUGCAGUCUCAUCUUCUGAUGCACAUUUCCUAGUAGUCUCAAUGUCUGCAUCUAAUGAAUAAACUGUGAAUCUCUUGUCGGUUA